GAUGAACGCUGGCGGCGUGCCUAAUACAUGCAAGUCGAGCGAACGGACGAGAAUCUUGCUUCUCUGAUGUUUGCGGCGGACGGGUGUGUAACACGUGUAUAACCUCCCUAUAAGACUGGGAUAACUUCGGGACACCGGCUCUAAUACCGUAUAAUCUUUUGAACCGCAUGGUUCAAAAGUGAAAGACGGUCUUUCUGUCACUUAUCGAUGGAUCCGCGCUGCAUUGGAUAGUUGGUAAGGUAACGGCUUACCAAGGCAACGAUGCAUAGACGACGUGAGAGAGUGAUAGGCCACAUGAGAGCGGGAACGCGGACAAGACGACUAAGGGAGGCAGCAGAAGGGAACCGGACGCAAUGGGCGAAAGUAUGACGGAGCGAGGGCGCGUGAGAGAUGAAGGUGUUCGGAGCGUAAAAAUGGGUUAUGAGGGAAGAACAGAUGUGGAAGGUAAUGUGCACAGAUUGACGGUAACGAAUAAGAAAGCAACGGCUAACUACGUG
rnacentral:rRNA from 1 species